rnacentral:lncRNA from 1 species
CGAAUCAUCGUUUAUUUGCACGAUAGAAAGACUUGCAGUGGGCGUCGUUGCCAAUGUACAACACACACACGCAAAAUAAAAUAAAAAAAGUGGGGGGGGGUAGUAACUCUUGACGUAUUUAUUAUUCAGUAAGACACGCGAUUUUGUGUGUGUGUGUGUGUGUGUGCGGCUUGAAGAAGAACUUGUGGUGGGAGUAGACGCUCUGAAUUGUUAACAGUAAUCGACGCGCUUGGCGUCAUCACAACUUUGAAGGGCAAGGGGGGUGGGUUAGAAAAAAGGCUGGGGACGGUCCCGAAAAAAAGUGUGAUAAAAUAUUUAAUGGAUGGCUGGCCAAAGGGAAUGGCUGCUAUUGUGAUUUUGUUUGUUUAAUUUUACGCACGGCAGGUAUCGCGCUCUUUUAAAGCUUUGAAUAGGUAAUAACAUCCCAGGAAGUUGGAAGACCUUUUUUUUUUUUAGGUGCGUUUUGGAGAGAGAGAGAGGGGGAAACGGAGGUACAUUUUUGUGGUGUCUAAUGGACGGACGGUAAGCUACACUGGACACGCCAUGGAAACAAAAGAAGUUGCCUGGAAAGCACUUCACAAAAGGAAAGUAGCGCGUUUUCACCGUGUCGCCCAUCGCUAUGUCGCAAUUGCUCGUGACGUCGAGCUGAUGGUUUGUUUAAACAGCCCCCCAAACAUUUUUCAUGUUGCAUUUUCAAAUUACCCGCCGUCCUUGUUUUUGUUUUAACGAGAGACAGGUUGUGAUCGUUGAUCAGUAGGCCGUAACCUACGAUGAUUUCUAAGAAAAAAGAAAAUGGUGUGUGUGUGUGUGUGUUUAAAAGGAGGGGUAGGAGCUGUCGUGAUGGAGACACGAUGUGAGCGCAAGCCAUUUGAUGUUUGGUAAGGAAAGGGUUGCCUCGGCGAUGUAUAGCUUCUUUUUAAAAACAUGAUGUACACGCUCGGAGUGUAUUGUGUGCACAUUUAUCCACAUAGCCAUUGGCUAGGAAGAAAAGGCAAUGAACGUGUGAAAUUGAUGAUGAUUGUGCCGACAUUGGUUGGGGAAACGUCUCGAGCCGUGUGAGCUGCUGCUUGCUGCGUUUGAUUAAUUCAAUUAGAUGGGCGAAAAAAAAAAAAUUCGUGAAUUAAUCCGUGUGUACCAAGUGUGUCUCUCCGUUUCUCUAUGAGAUGAUGAUGAAAGACCUUCAAGACCAGUCUCCCCCCUCCGCUAUUAAACAAGAGCCGGAUGACAGAUGGAAGUCCAUAUACCACGUCAAACAUUUGUCUUCUUUUUCUCUGGAAAGCGCUAGCUGCUUAAAAGGGCCAAUGAAGUGGUGGUUUUGCACAGACAUUUCGCCUUCCCAUCCCCACUUCCUCGACGUGUUAUAUGACGAAGUGUGACAGCCCUGCAGUGGACAUAACACUUGAAAAUUGGGCCCUUUCCUGAGGGGC